GACCCGCACAAGCGGUGGAGCAUGUGGUUUAAUUCGAUGCAACGCGAAAAACCUUACCUACUCUUGACAUACUUGGAAGCUCUUGUAAUGAGAGUGUGCCUUUUGGAACCAAGAUACAGGUGCUGCAUGGCUGUCGUCAGCUCGUGUCGUGAGAUGUUCCGUUAAGUCGGAUAACGAGCGCAACCCUUACCCUUAUUUGCCAGCGAUUCGGUCGGGAACUAUAAGGGGACUGCCGGUGAUAAACCGGAGGAAGGUGAGGACGACGUCAAGUCAUCAUGGCCCUUACGAGUAGGGCUACACACGUGCUACAAUGGGGAAUACAGACGGACGCUAAGCCGCGAGGUGGUGCUAAUCCUAGAAAGUUUCUCGUAGUCCGGA
rnacentral:rRNA from 1 species